rnacentral:rRNA from 1 species
AGCAGCCGCGGUAAUUCCAGCUCCAAUAGCGUAUAUUAAAGUUGUUGCAGUUAAAAAGCUCGUAGUUGAAUUUCGAGAUCAAAUUGUUGGUCGUGCCUCGGUACGUACUGGCAUUAUUGAUUUCUCCCUUCUGAAGAACCUUGAUGUCAUUAAUUUGGUGUCUUGGGGAAUCAGGACCGUUACUUUGAAAAAAUUAGAGUGUUUAAAGCAGGCUCACGCUUGAAUACAUUAGCAUGGAAUAAUGAAAUAGGACGUUUGAUUCUAUUUUGUUGGUUUCUAGGAUCGACGUAAUGAUUAAUAGGGAUAAUUGGGGGCAUUAGUAUUCAAUUGUCAGAGGUGAAAUUCUUGGAUUUAUUGAAGACUAACUACUGCGAAAGCAUUUGCCAAGGAUGUUUUCAUUAAUUCAAGAACGAAAGUUAGGGGAUCGAAGACGAUCAGAUACCGUCGUAGUCUUAACCAUAAACUAUG